CUAUUUGGCGGCGACCAACAGGUCUUAAAUGGAUAGCAGCAGCAACUCUGGUGCUAAUACAUGCGAUUGUUUCUCCAGAUGUGAAUUAUGGAGGAAAAGUUGACCUCAUCAGAGGCACGCCAUUCGACUGAGUGACCUAUCAGCUUGUACUUAGGGUCUUUACCUAGGUAGGCUAUCACGGGUAACGGGCGGUUACCGUCGGACUGCCGGAGAAGGCGCCUGAGAGAUAGCGACUAUAUCCACGGGUAGCAGCAGGCGCGAAACUUUCCCACUCGAGACUUUCGGAGGAGGUAAUGACCAGUUCCAUUGGUGCCUUUUGGUACUGUGGAUAGGGGUACGGUUUUCCACCGUACCGAAACCUAGCAGAGGGCCAGUCUGGUGCCAGCAGCUGCGGUAAUUCCAGCUCUGCGAGUUUGCUCCCAUAUUGUUGCAGUUAAAACGCCCGUAGUCUGAAUUGGCCAGCAAUGGUCGUACGUAUUUUUACGUUCACUGUGAACAAAUCAGGACGCUUAGAGUAUGGCCACAUGAAUGACUCAGCGCAGUAUGAAGUCUUUGUUUUCUUCCGAAAACAAGCUCAAUGAGAGCCAUCGGGGGUAGAUCUAUCUCAUGACGAGUGGUGGAAUACUUUGACUCAUGAGAGAGAAGCUGAGGCGAAGGCGUCUACCUAGAGGGUUUCUGUCGAUCAAGGGCGAGAGUAGGAGUAUCCAACAGGAUUAGAGACCCUGGUAGUUCCUACCUUAAACGAUGCCGACAGGAGUUUGUCAUUUGUUAAUGGCAGAAUCUUUGGAGAAAUCAUAGUUCUUGGGCUCUGGGGGAACUACGACCGCAAGGCUGAAACUUGAAGGGAUUGACGG
rnacentral:ncRNA from 2 species